rnacentral:rRNA from 1 species
GGUAAAUCCGGUUCACUUUAACACUGAGGCGUGAUGACGAGGCACUACGGUGCUGAAGCAACAAAUGCCCUGCUUCCAGGAAAAGCCUCUAAGCAUCAGGUAACAUCAAAUCGUACCCCAAACCGACACAGGUGGUCAGGUAGAGAAUACCAAGGCGCUUGAGAGAACUCGGGUGAAGGAACUAGGCAAAAUGGUGCCGUAACUUCGGGAGAAGGCACGCUGACACGUAGGUGAAGUGAUUUACUCAUGGAGCUGAAGUCAGUCGAAGAUACCAGCUGGCUGCAACUGUUUAUUAAAAACACAGCACUGUGCAAACACGAAAGUGGACGUAUACGGUGUGACGCCUGCCCGGUGCCGGAAGGUUAAUUGAUGGGGUCAGCGCAAGCGAAGCUCCUGAUCGAAGCCCCGGUAAACGGCGGCCGUAACUAUAACGGUCCUAAGGUAGCGAAAUUCCUUGUCGGGUAAGUUCCGACCUGCACGAAUGGCGUAAUGAUGGCCAGGCUGUCUCCACCCGAGACUCAGUGAAAUUGAACUCGCUGUGAAGAUGCAGUGUACCCGCGGCAAGACGGAAAGACCCCGUGAACCUUUACUAUAGCUUGACACUGAACAUUGAGCCUUGAUGUGUAGGAUAGGUGGGAGGCUUUGAAGUGUGGACGCCAGUCUGCAUGGAGCCGGCCUUGAAAUACCACCCUUUAAUGUUUGAUGUUCUAACGUGGACCCGUGAUCCGGGUUGCGGACAGUGUCUGGUGGGUAGUUUGACUGGGGCGGUCUCCUCCUAAAGAGUAACGGAGGAGCACGAAGGUUGGCUAAUCCUGGUCGGACAUCAGGAGGUUAGUGCAAUGGCAUAAGCCAGCUUGACUGCGAGCGUGACGGCGCGAGCAGGUGCGAAAGCAGGUCAUAGUGAUCCGGUGGUUCUGAAUGGAAGGGCCAUCGCUCAACGGAUAAAAGGUACUCCGGGGAUAACAGGCUGAUACCGCCCAAGAGUUCAUAUCGACGGCGGUGUUUGGCACCUCGAUGUCGGCUCAUCACAUCCUGGGGCUGAAGUAGGUCCCAAGGGUAUGGCUGUUCGCCAUUUAAAGUGGUACGCGAGCUGGGUUUAGAACGUCGUGAGACAGUUCGGUCCCUAUCUGCCGUGGGCGCUGGAGAACUGAGGGGGGCUGCUCCUAGUACGAGAGGACCGGAGUGGACGCAUCACUGGUGUUCGGGUUGUCAUGCCAAUGGCACUGCCCGGUAGCUAAAUGCGGAAGAGAUAAGUGCUGAAAGCAUCUAAGCACGAAACUUGCCCCGAGAUGAGUUCUCCCUGAGACUUUAGGUCUCCUGAAGGAACGUUGAAGACGACGACGUUGAUAGGCCGGGUGUGUAAGCGCAGCGAUGCGUUGAGCUAACCGGUACUAAUGAACCGUGAGGCUUAACCUU